GACAGAGGGUGCAAACGUUGUUCGGAAUUACUGGGCGUAAAGCGCGUGUAGGCUGCUCGGAAAGUCGGAUGUGAAAGCCCUGGGCUCAACCUAGGAAGUGCAUUCGAAAACUUCUGCGUGGAGUGCUGGAGAGGAAGGCGGAAUUCUCGGUGUAGAGGUGAAAUUCGUAGAUAUCGAGAGGAACACCGGUGGCGAAGGCGGCCUUCUGGACAGCAACUGACGCUGAGACGCGAAAGCGUGGGGAGCAAACAGG
rnacentral:rRNA from 1 species